rfam:Sphingomonas sp. IBVSS1 contig000001, whole genome shotgun sequence.
GGGAUUGAGGAAUCACCCCCGACACCCUACAUGGAUCGUGCCGGCUUGCCGGCUAUGGCGAUAAAUGAUGCCGUGGAAUAGACGCAGCGGACCCGGGGGCAGUACCCGGCGGCUCCACCAUUCUCAAUCCCGUUGUCGGGGUGAAGUGCGGGGCCGAACCAGGAUCGACGUGUGUUCAAAGACGGUGUUUUUGCCCGGCCUGAAUGCGCCGUUAAACCGUUCAAAACCCACAAAUGCCAACGACAACGAGGCAUUCGCGAUCGCGGCGUAAUUGAGUCCUAACGGACGAAAUUACCCCAAGAGAACGCGGCACGGGCCACGCCGGGCAACAGAAGUGGAUUCCA